GCAUCUCCAAUGGAAGAAAAAUAGAGCUCUCAUGACAGUCUCUCUGAAUUAUUGUGAAAAAAAAUAAAUCAGAAAGCUUUAAUAUUAAGAGAAUCGUUUCUCUUAGGAGAGAUUUUGGAGCUGAAGAGAGACGCAUACGUGGCGAUGGAGAAACUGAGAGCCUCUGACGUGUUGCGGUGUGGUUGGUUGAAGGGUUUUGUAUGAAAGAGAAAAAACUAUUCCCGUGUUUCUUUUCUUCGUCGCCUCUUUCAAUGCGAUUGUGAAAUCGGAAGCGAAAUCUCUCAAAUCGGAAGCAAUCGGAGGGUUUUUUUCACCAGUAUCAUCAUCUCAACGGAUGCUCCGGCCGACGGUGGCGCGGCGGCUGUAGUGGAGGAACAAACCGAAUUCGAUGUGGUUACUGGUUAUCAAUGAAGUUCCAAGUAGUUCUCGUAUUGCUGUGAUUAAAGCUGUUAGGGCUUUGACUACCUUGGCGUCGAAGGAAGCUUGUGAGCUAAUUGAAGGAUUACCCAAGAAGUUUAAAGAAGGUGUGACUAAAGAUGAAGCUGAAUAAGCUAAGAAGACUCUUGAAGAAGCUGGUGUCUCCAUUGCUUAAGAGUGAGAUUCAAGAUGGAACAACUAGAUUGGAGUAGUGGUGGUGAUACGAGAUUUGAGCAAGCAUCAUCAUGUUCAGCUUUAAUAUGUUGUUGUUGUUAUUUGGAUAUUUGUUCACUCUUUUAUUGAGUUUCUUGAAUGUGUUUGAGCAAGCAUCAUCACUGGCAAUGUUCCAUUUUGCUGAAACCCUCUCGCGCUGCUUCAUUGAUUCAUUCAAUCUCUAUAUUGUCUAUGCUAUGAAAUUUGAACGUGCUUUAUUUUGAAUGUGUUUUUGAUGUAGAAGACACCAAAUCUGUCUUGUAUAGGCUAAGUAGGAGACAAGACACUCAAAUCAAAAUAUGUGUAGAUCAUGAAUCUUUCAUUUGCAUUUGACAAGUUUUUGAUGUGAUUA